ACCGUAAAAAAUUUUAGUUCAGUGAUGCAUUUGCAAACCGAGGUCGAGUACAGUGGGGAAAAGUGUAUUUAACCCAUCUUAUAUUACAUAACAUAAAUCCCAGGUUCUAUAGACCUUUACAUAACUUAUGAAUCGAAUAUCAUUACACAACAUAGUACUAACAGUAUUUAUUACAUUUACUACUUAAAUAAGCACAUGCGCUUAAUAAAAGAAUAUUCAACAACUUUGCCCUUUCCUUUGUCUUUUCCAGAUGGACCAACAACUUCAUUCUUAACUGAAAACAUUAUAUUUAACGCAAGGAUGAGCAACAAGCUUGCUCAGCAAGGAAAUAAACAGCUAAAUAUAAUGGAACAUAAAUAUUAUAUCAAUGAGGAUUCAAUAAUAAAUACUGAACAAGAUAAUUCUUUAAAAGUGUUGAGUCUGAAAAAUUAGACUUUAGCAUGCUGUAAGGUCAAAUGACCAGUGAACUCUUUACUAGAAUUGACAGUAAUAAUACUACAAUCCAUGGAUACAUACAGUUUAUAAAAGCUGUUUUAUAUCCUAGACUCGUACUUUAGGUGAUCCGCUUAAGUACCCUAUAUUGUGCACAACAUAACAGUCUAAUGACACUUUACAUGUCCUUCGGAAUCAUAUGUCCGGUACAAUAUUCUCCUAUAAAAGGGUUGUUCGUUCACAGCAUUAUAUAAGAAUCCAUACAACAAAAUGGUUUGGAAAGCAUUAGCUGAUAACUUCAUGAAUAAUAUCAAUAUAUCUCAACAAUUGUCUAACCGAAGUAAUGGUAUUGACAUACUUUCAAUGUAAACUCAUUCAAGAUAGAAAAGUUGAUAUUCUAUUCUUUUGAAGCUGAUUGGAAUAAAAAGGCUAUUUAACCUUAUAUUAUUCAUAAAUAAGGACAGACAGUUCAGAAAUUAAAGAACCUGUCCACUGCAGAAUAAUUGCUCAAUAGAGAGUAAAGAGUUAGAAACUUGCCUUGUUUGUAGACUAUUGAUAAGAUUCAGCUUAAUAUGUUCUCACAGAGCCUACACAAUUUAUUUGCAUUUACAAGCCUAUUAGCCAAAUAGCCAAGUCACAUAGUUUGUGGAGAUUCACACAUCACAUAAUUCAGUGGUCAAGUUUGUAGUUAGAUUCCUACAUUUCAUACAUUUUUCAAAUAUCUCAUCCAUGUUUUCAUAUUAGUCAAUCUUCUCUUUAAUGGGGUUAAACAUACUUACAAUCAAAUAAUAGGAAUCAAAUUAUUAUUAUUUGCAUUAAUCAAGCAUGUUAGCCAUAUAGUCAAAUCAUAUAUCAUGUAAUUUCAGUGAUCAUGGUUAGAUUUCUUAUAUUUGAUACAUUUUUCAAAUAUCUCAUCCAUACUUUCACACUAGAUAUUUUUCACUUUGAUGGGGUUCAACAUGCCUACCACAAGUAUUAAAAAAUCAAAUUAAAAUUACUAUUUCUAGCCACUUUAGUUCAUUCCAACACUUGAAUUAUAUCUAAUUCAUAUAAGUUCACCCUCUUGUAGCUUCAACUAGGUCUAAUAAGCACAACACUGCAUUAGCAGUUAGUUGAGGUUACCUAUUGCAACUCACUAUUAGUAGCCCUAUGCUUCCCUCUUUAUCACAUUUUUAUUCUCAACUUGUAAGUAUAGUAUAUAUGUUUUCAACACAUACUCAAGUUACACAUGAUGAUUAAUUUCUUGAAGAUUUCAAUUCUCAACCAAAGUGGUUAGUAGACUGCUUUAGCAGUCACUUGACAUCAACUGCUGCCGCUCAUAGGCAGCAGUCCCCUUUAUUUUGGCCUUGUUUAGUUUAUAGCUUCCCUUAAGAAUUUUAUCUUACUAACUGCAACUAACAGAAAACAAAAGAGAGCAUGUCCAGCUCAACAUUCUACAGUCUUCUUGUUGCCUUUCUAUGUCAGCAGCCAAGCUUAGCUUGGCCUUGUGAGGUUCAGCUAAGCUUGGUGUGGCCUAGCUUGGCCUCACGACCCCUAAUUCACAUACAGAGCUGCUACUGCAACUGCUAACCUGACAACUGUGGCCCAUACAUAAUCUAUGUAGGUCAAGAUGGUGUGUCAAACCGCAUGUUUGGUUCUACAGCGCAGUGCAGCACCACGCUAGGCGUGGACUGCCACUGCCUGCAGCAGCCCCGGCUGGUUUUUGCCCAAGCUCAGCCACUUUUACAAGUCUAAAACCUUUAAUACAUAAGUUUUAUUGGCAUCUAUUUGUAAAGAUAAUGAGGAUGCCCUUGCAGAUUAUAACAACUACUAAGCUCCCCAAAUUGAACACCCUGACUGCCCAAAACAUAGAUCAAAGAUAGCUAGGCAUGCUUACUUUUAACUUUUAAUUUUUAUUUUAAAAUUUGUUUCUGUUUUCAUUAAUAUAUCAAAACACUUUAAAUAGCAUCAUAUAUGAUGUACAAACCUGGCCCAAGCAUUAGUUUUGGCCUAUAAUAGAUGUUCAGCUGAAACAGUUCUCUUAGGCCUUUUAUCAAACAGUUGGUGGGCAUGGUUAUAAGCUACUAGUUCCAUAACCAUUUGUUUAUAUGAUAACCCAUUUUAUCCUCCUUAUUUCUCCACCGCCCAACCUAGCUGUUUGUGCCCAAGUUCAGUCCAUAUAAGCAUAGCCAAAGCAUAACAGUUAAUUUAAUAUAACAACUCAACACCUAUCAUGUUAUCAGUUAGUUAAAAUAGUAACAUAGUAUGUCCCUCAGUUAGAUCCUACAAUAGUUUACAUAGCAACUCAAGCAUCCAUAUAACAGUCUUUGAGUCUAUAACAGAAAAUAGGCAAGGUUCAGUACUAAGCCAUCAAAACAGUCCUUAUAAUACAAUGACAGUUUUAUAAAGCAACACAUAGUGCUAGCAGUCAGUCACCAUGGAAAUAUAGCAUAGCAUAAAAUAGAAAAUAGUCCUUCAAAUCUCUUAACACAAGUGUUAUAACAUAAUGUACUUACUAUGUUUCAUGAUUUAAAGACCCCAAUACAAGGUAUGACUAUCCAGAGAUAGGUUUCCAAAACAGUUAACAAAGAGUUCACCUUUUCAGUUCUUGUUAUUUUGUUUUGCUCAAUUGAUACACCAAUACAUGUUGUGCAUAAGCAUAGAGGUUAUUUGAAGCAUAACUAUACUUUUUAAGAGAGAUUAACCACAUUUUGGACUCCAUUCCUAGCCAUCCUAUCUUGACACUAUAACAGUUUUAGACUAGCAAUUUGGUCAUGGUUUAUCACACCAAAACAGUAGCAAGCAUGGACAUAUAUGUCUUUCUAAAACAUUAACCUUGUAUUUACCAUAUCCAUGAUUUUAAAGCAUCUAGAGGCAAGGUCCUUAUGUUUUAAUUUUAAAACAGCCCUUCAAUCUCUUAAUCACAAGGGUUAUAACAUCAUGUACUUGAUAUAUACUAUAUAUUCAUAAUUUAAAAACUUGCAUACAAGGUAUCAUUAUUUCCAAAAUAGGCUUCCACAUCAUUUUGUCAAAACUAACUAUUUCAGUCCAAAGUGGUAUAGCACACCAUACCAGUCCAAUCCUAUUGCACUAACAGUCAGUAUAACACAAGGAUGUUACUCACAGCCAGUCAACACAUCAACAUAGCACAACAGCAAUAUAUCAUAGCAGUCAUCUAGUAAAGGAGAUUAGUAUCACAGCCAUGGUAGUCAAUAGCAGUCCAUAUUAAUAUAGCCAUAAUAUAGCAGCUCUUUUAUGUUACUUUAGUUUUGUUUUAUCAAAACAUGAUCUUGAAUACUAAUCAACUACUCACAAUUUUGUAUAUGUAACCUUUUAGCAUACUUGAUACUUUAAUAAUAUAUGGUUUAUUCGAUAUCCUUUUUCUCUAAAUCAUAGUUAGCAUACAAGAUCCUUAAAACUGUGGCUCAGUCAUAGUUAAAUGCUUAGCUCAUGUAUGGACUGAUAUACAACCAAUUAUAAUCAUCUUAUGUGCAUUUAAGAUUGACAUAUAAUCAUCUUAUCUAGUAAAGGAGAUUAGUAUCACAGCCAUGGUAGUCAAUAGCAGUCCAUAUUAAUAUAGCCAUAAUAUAGCAGCUCUUUUAUGUUACUUUAGUUUUGUUUUAUCAAAACAUGAUCUUGAAUACUAAUCAACUACUCACAAUUUUGUAUAUGUAACCUUUUAGCAUACUUGAUACUUUAAUAAUAUAUGGUUUAUUCGAUAUCCUUUUUCUCUAAAUCAUAGUUAGCAUACAAGAUCCUUAAAACUGUGGCUCAGUCAUAGUUAAAUGCUUAGCUCAUGUAUGGACUGAUAUACAACCAAUUAUAAUCAUCUUAUGUGCAUUUAAGAUUGACCUAUUAGCACCUUUGUAUCAUUAGGACUACAAUAUAAUGUUGGCAUAAAAUUAGUCUUGUCUGUACUCCUAUUCAACACAAGUUACAGCAACAGUCCUCUCCUGAGUAUUUUAUCAAACAGAUGGUGGGCAGUCUACAUAUCUCCUUACCUUACUUAUGUUAUUAGCUUGGUUCUACCAGCCUUAUGGCUUAAACAACAAGAAGCAAAUAACCAAUCUUUAGCAGUCUUAAUCACAACAGCUCACAAUAGUCAUUUAUGUUACUUAGCCACUAGCAGUCUAAUUGCUAACACUUAAAGGAAUAGGAACGAAGGAUUAGGAAGGCCAUAAUGCUUACUUGUUGAUUCGAAUGGUUACAAUGGAGUUGUACUGCCCAGCCUCUCCUCUUCCUCUAGCCGUACUCUUCACUCUCACUCUAUAUGAUCGUUACUGCUAUUUCUUUUGGACUCAGUUAGGUAAUGAAGCUAAUUUGUUUUGGGCAAUAAACUUGGCCUUUUAUGGCUGAGCCUAGCUUUUUCUACUGUUACUCACAUCACCUCUAGUUGGCCCCUACUCUGCCACCCUACCAAGCAGCUGCACUCAGUCCUAGUCUAGCUAAUUUGGCCCUUACCCAGCCACCCUAGCAGACCUUAGCUUACUUGCUACCUUAUCAUCUGCAAUUGUAGCUGACCUGUUAUUUGUUUGUUAGCUAAACUAGCUUACCUGCUAACCAUAACCAACAUCUUCUAAUUGCUUGUUUACGGUUGAACUGAAGCAAUUGAAAAAACAUUAUUAAUAUGGACUCAACUCAUAUUUAAAUUAAUUGAAAAGGCUUACAAGUAUAAUUAGUAAAAUUUAAUAUCGCC
rnacentral:lncRNA from 1 species